GACGAACGCUGGCGGCGUGCUUAACACAUGCAAGUCGAACGGAAAGGCCCUGCUUUUGUGGGGUGCUCGAGCGGCGAACGGGUGAGUAACACGUGAGUAACCUGCCCUUGACUUUGGGAUAACUUCAGGAAACUGGGGCUAAUACCGGAUAGGAGCUCCUGCUGCAUGGUGGGGGUUGGAAAGUUUCGGCGGUUGGGGAUGGACUCGCGGCUUAUCAGCUUGUUGGUGGGGUAGUGGCUUACCAAGGCUUUGACGGGUAGCCGGCCUGAGAGGGUGACCGGCCACAUUGGGACUGAGAUACGGCCCAGACUCCUCCGGGAGGCAGCAGUGGGGAAUAUUGCACAAUGGGCGGAAGCCUGAUGCAGCAACGCCGCGUGCGGGAUGACGGCCUUCGGGUUGUAAACCGCUUUCGCCUGUGACGAAGCGUGAGUGACGGUAAUGGGUAAAGAAGCACCGGCUAACUACGUG
rnacentral:rRNA from 1 species